UACGUAGGGGGCGAGCGUUGUCCGGAGUUACUGGGCGUAAAGGGCAUGCAGGCGGUCGGACGCGUUUCGGGUGACAGCGGGUGGCUUAACUACCCGAGUGGUCGAAAGACGGUUUGACUUGAGGACGCGAGAGGGACACGGAAUUCCUGGUGUAGCGGUGAAAUGCGCAGAUAUCAGGAGGAACACCCGUGGCGAAAGCGGCUCUCUGGGACGGUACUGACGCUGAGACGCGAAAGCGUGGGGAGCAAACAGG
rnacentral:rRNA from 1 species